CCCUUAGACACUCUAGGCGGCACGCGCGCUACAAUGGGUGGAAGAACGUGUUACUGCCUCCGAAAGGAGAGGUGAAUCACGAAUUCUUGCCCGUGAAUGGGAUAGUUUGUUGCAAUUUUCGGACUUGAACUAGGAAUCCCUUGUAAACAUGCUCAAGAAUAGCGUGUUGAAUACGUCCCUGCCGUUUGUACACCCCGCCCGUCGUUUCUUCCGACUGAUACUCAUUGUGAGUUGCAAGGACCCUUUAUUGGGAAAUUGCUGCAAAUGCUUUGUAUUGGAGGAAGAAAAAGUCGUAACA
rnacentral:rRNA from 1 species